rnacentral:rRNA from 1 species
GGUUGAUCCUGCCAGUAGUCAUAUGCUUGUCUCAAAGAUUAAGCCAUGCAUGUCUAAGUAUAAACUGCUUUUUAUAUGGUGAGACUGCGGAUGGCUCAUUAAAUCAGUUAUAGUUUAUUUGAUGGUCCUUUUUUUUUAUUUUUACUACUUGGAUAACCGUGGUAAUUCUAGAGCUAAUACAUGCGUAAGGUCCUGAUCUGGCCUCUGGCCUUUGGAGUGUGGUGUUUCACGCAUUGCAUUUCGGGGCCAGGUGGGUGGAAAGGGAUGUAUUUAUUAGGUAAAAAAACCGGCG